rfam:Eutrema salsugineum unplaced genomic scaffold scaffold_3, whole genome shotgun sequence.
AAACCAUGAUGAGGGCAGUCUCUCUCAUACUUCUUGAAUCGCUCCCUGGCUUCAUAGAAUGAUUCUAUUGGGACCUUGUUGGAAACUUUGAAUCUUGUUUCUCAGCU